GACGAACGCUGGCGGCGUGCUAACACAUGCAAGUCGAACGGGUCUGCCCUGUUUUUUGCGGGGUGGGUCAGUGGCGAACGGGUGAGUAACACGUGAGUAACCUGCCCCUCACUUCUGGAUAACCGCUUGAAAGGGUGGCUAAUACGGGGUGUUCUGGCUGUGCCGCAUGGUGUGGCUGGGAAAGAUUCACUUUUGUGGUGUUUUGGUGGGGGAUGGGCUCGCGGCCUAUCAGCUUGUUGGUGGGGUGAUGGCCUGCCAAGGCUUUGACGGGUAGCCGGCCUGGGAGGGUGGGCGGUCACACUGGGACUGAGAUACGGCCCAGACUCCUGCGGGAGGCAGCAGUGGGGGGUAUUGCACAAUGGGCGGAAGCCUGAUGCAGCGACGUCGCGUGAGGGAUGGAGGCCUUCGGGUUGUGAACCUCUUUCGCCGGUGAAGAAGGUCCUGCUCUUUGGGGUGGGGUUGACGGUAGCCGGGUUAUGAAGCGCCGGCUAACUACGUG
rnacentral:rRNA from 1 species